rnacentral:rRNA from 1 species
CAAGUCGAGGGGCAGCGCGGGUAGCAAUAUCUGGCGGCGACCGGCAAACGGGUGCGGAACACGUACGCAACCUUCCUUUAAGUGGGGGAUAGCCCAGGGAAACUUGGAUUAAUACCCCGUAAGAUUAUGGAGUGGCAUCACUCAGUAAUUAAAGUUACGACGCUUAAAGAUGGGCGUGCGGCUGAUUAGGUAGUUGGCGGGGUAACGGCCCACCAAGCCAACGAUCAGUAACUGGUGUGAGAGCACGACCAGUCACACGGGCACUGAGACACGGGCCCGACUCCUACGGGAGGCAGCAGUAAGGAAUAUUGGUCAAUGGACGCAAGUCUGAACCAGCCAUGCCGCGUGGAGGAUGAAGGCCCUCUGGGUUGUAAACUUCUUUUAUCUGGGAAGAAACCCAUCCUUUCUAGGGUGGUUGACGGUACCAGAGGAAUAAGCACCGGCUAACUCCGUGCCAGCAGCCGCGGUAAUACGGAGGGUGCAAGCGUUAUCCGGAUUCACUGGGUUUAAAGGGUGCGUAGGUGGGCAGGUAAGUCAGUGGUGAAAUCUCCGGGCUUAACCCGGAAACUGCCGUUGAUACUAUCUGUCUUGAAUGUAGUGGAGGUGAGCGGAAUAUGUCAUGUAGCGGUGAAAUGCUUAGAUAUGACAUAGAACACCCAUUGCGAAGGCAGCUCGCUACACUAUUAUUGACACUGAGGCACGAAAGCGUGGGGAUCAAACAGGAUUAGAUACCCUGGUAGUCCACGCCCUAAACGAUGGAUACUCGACAUAUGCGAUACACAGUAUGUGUCUGAGCGAAAGCAUUAAGUAUCCCACCUGGGAAGUACGACCGCAAGGUUGAAACUCAAAGGAAUUGA